rnacentral:rRNA from 1 species
GAUGAACGCUGGCGGCGUGCCUAACACAUGCAAGUCGAGCGAAGCACUUACUUUAGAUUUCUUCGGAAUGACGAAGUUUGUGACUGAGCGGCGGACGGGUGAGUAACGCGUGGGCAACCUGCCCUGUACAGGGGGAUAACAGUUAGAAAUGAUUGCUAAUACCGCAUAAGCCCACAGCUUCGCAUGAAGCAGUGGGAAAAACUCCGGUGGUACAGGAUGGGCCCGCGUCUGAUUAGCUAGUUGGUAAGGUAACGGCUUACCAAGGCGACGAUCAGUAGCCGACCUGAGAGGGUGACCGGCCACAUUGGGACUGAGACACGGCCCAAACUCCUACGGGAGGCAGCAGUGGGGAAUAUUGCACAAUGGGGGAAACCCUGAUGCAGCGACGCCGCGUGAGCGAUGAAGUAUUUCGGUAUGUAAAGCUCUAUCAGCAGGGAAGAAAGUGACGGUACCUGACGAAGAAGCCCCGGCUAACUACGUG